UAGGUUUAAAGCAGGCAGAUCCAUUUUCUGCCACCGAAUACAUUAGCAUGGGAUAAUGGAAUAGGACCCUGUCCUCCUAUUUUCAGUUGGUUUUGACACCCCAGGACCAAGGUAAUGAAUAAAAAGGAUAGUUGGGGGCAUUAAUAUUUAAUUGGCAAAAGUGAAAUUCUUGGAUUUAUGAAAAAAUAACUUCUGCCAAAGCAUCUGCCCAGGAUGUUUUCCUUAAUCAAGAACGAAAGUUAAGGGAUCCAAAACCAACCAAUACCGUCCUAAUCCUAACCAUAAACCAAGCCCACCCACCAUUAAGAAACGUUGAAUACCAAACACCCCCCUUCGUGCCGUCCUCCCUGGCAUUUUUCCUUUUCCCACGCCCCCCCCCGGGGGGGGAACAACCUGGCGUCACGGAUUAAUGACCCCCCCCCCCCCUGGAAAAAGAGAAAA
rnacentral:rRNA from 1 species